UUGUGAAGUUCAUGGUAUCAUGGACAACACUGGCUCGGUUCUCUGUUCAUUGCUACCAGCUAAAAUUAGACGACUAAAAGCAACAGCCUUCUAGACGAUUCAUAAAACUGUUGAAACACCAGCAAGUAGACCGGAAGUGUGGUGAUGCACUAGUAGGAUUUCAACGGAAGUCACGCCUCCAUUGAAACAGGAUCGAGAAACUCUACAGAGGCGUUUGAACGGAAGUAACGCAGACACGUAUCGAUUUUCGAUUAAUCUGUUUUCCUUUUAAACCGCUCCAUAUAACAACCGUACUUUAUCAUCACAAAGUAAACCAGAAACAGAGAUUAAUCAAUGGCACAUGUCCUCGCCGGGAUAUCCGUCAUCCCCAGAGAUGUCCUACCCGGGAUACCCGUCAUCCUCAGAGAUGGCCUAGCCGGGAUACCCGUCAUCCCCAUAGAUAGUUAGUCGCGCCACCUAUCAGAGCGAAUCCCAACUACCUGUUGUACAUAGUUCGGCAGGUAGAGUUAGUUUCCCGACUUCCCUAUCGUUCAAAUCCAAUUGAAGAAUGACCUUAUAUUGUAUAGUAUGUUCCAUACCAAUGUACCUUUUGAAUUGUUUCCCUUAUACAUGUACGUUUCUCCAUUUAAAUACAUUUUCUGUUUUGAAUUUAAUGAAUUUUAAUUUCAUGAAUUUUAGUGUCACAUAUGGAUGGGUAUAUUUUAUGUAAAUGACUGUUUCAUGUAAAAUAUGUGUGACAGUCCAAUAAAAUGUUUUAUUAA